UACGGAGGGUGCAAGCGUUGUCCGGAUUUAUUGGGUUUAAAGGGUGCGUAGGCGACCCGGUAAGUCAGUGGUGAAAGCCUCCAGCUCAACUGGAGAACUGCCAUUGGUACUGCCGGGCUUGAGUACAGACGAGGUUGGCGGAAUUGAUUGUGUAGCGGUGAAAUGCAUAGAUACAAUCAAGAACUCCGAUUGCGUAGGCAGCUAACUAGGCUGUAACUGACGCUGAGGCACGAAAGCGUGGGGAGCGAACAGG
rnacentral:rRNA from 1 species